AUACGGAGGGUGCAAACGUUGUUCGGAAUCACUGGGCGUAAAGGGCGCGCAGGCGGUUUGAUUAGUCAGAUGUGAAAGCCCACGGCCUAACCGUGGAAGUGCAUUUGAAACUGUCAGACUUGAGUACCAGAGGGGGUAGUGGAAUUCCCGGUGUAGAGGUGAAAUUCGUAGAUAUCUGGAGGAAUACCGGUGGCGAAGGCGACUACCUGGCUGGAUACUGACGCUGAGGCGCGAAAGCGUGGGAAGCAAACAGGAUUAGAAACCCCAGUAGUCC
rnacentral:rRNA from 1 species